AGAAGCGAGACAGUGAUGUGGAGCGAACUUAAAAAAGUAAGUCUCAGUUCGGAUUGAAGGCUGAAAUUCGCCUUCAUGAAGCCGGAAUUGCUAGUAAUGGCAGGUCAGCAUACUGCCGUGAAUACGUUCCCGGGCCUUGUACACACCGCCCGUCACACCAUGAGAGUUGGGAAUACCCGAAGCCUGUGAGCUAACUUAAGGGAGGCAGCAGUCGAAGGUAGAAUCAAUGAUUGGGGUGAAGUCGUAACAAGGUAAC
rnacentral:rRNA from 1 species